AGCGAACGCUGGCGGCAGGCCUAACACAUGCAAGUCGAGCGAAGUCUUCGGACUUAGUGGCGGACGGGUGAGUAACACGUGGGAACGUACAUUUUGGUUCGGAACAACUCAGGGAAACUUGAGCUAAUACCGGAUGAGCCCUUAGGGGGAAAGAUUUAUCGCCGAAAGAGCGGCCCGCGUUAGAUUAGCUAGUUGGUGAGGUAAAGGCUCACCAAGGCUACGAUCUAUAGCUGGUCUGAGAGGAUGAUCAGCCACACUGGGACUGAGACACGGCCCAGACUCCUACGGGAGGCAGCAGUGGGGAAUCGUGCGCAAUAGGCGAAAGCCUGACGCGGACAUGCCGCGUGAUGGAUGAAGGUCUUAGGAGUGUAAAAUUCUUUUACCAGGGACGAUAAUGACGGUACCUGGAGAAAAAGCCCCGGCUAACUUCGUGCCAGCAGCCGCCGUAAUAC
rnacentral:rRNA from 1 species